UACACAUGCAAGUCGAACGGCAGCGCGGGGCAACCUGGCGGCGAGUGGCGAACGGGUGAGUAAUAUAUCGGAACGUACCCAAGAGUGGGGGAUAACGUAGCGAAAGUUACGCUAAUACCGCAUACGAUCUAUGGAUGAAAGUGGGGGAUCGCAAGACCUCAUGCUCCUGGAGCGGCCGAUAUCUGAUUAGCUAGUUGGUGAGGUAAAGGCUCACCAAGGCGACGAUCAGUAGCUGGUCUGAGAGGACGACCAGCCACACUGGAACUGAGACACGGUCCAGACUCCUACGGGAGGCAGCAGUGGGGAAUUUUGGACAAUGGGCGCAAGCCUGAUCCAGCAAUGCCGCGUGAGUGAAGAAGGCCUUCGGGUUGUAAAGCUCUUUUGUCAGGGAAGAAACGGUGGGAGCUAAUAUCUCUUGCUAAUGACGGUACCUGAAGAAUAAGCACCGGCUAACUACGUGCCAGCAGCCGCGGUAAUACGUAGGGUGCAAGCGUUAAUCGGAAUUACUGGGCGUAAAGCGUGCGCAGGCGGUUUUGUAAGUCUGUCGUGAAAGCCCCGGGCUCAACCUGGGAAUUGCGAUGGAGACUGCAAGGCUUGAAUCUGGCAGAGGGGGGUAGAAUUCCACGUGUAGCAGUGAAAUGCGUAGAGAUGUGGAGGAACACCGAUGGCGAAGGCAGCCCCCUGGGUCAAGAUUGACGCUCAUGCACGAAAGCGUGGGGAGCAAACAGGAUUAGAUACCCUGGUAGUCCACGCCCUAAACGAUGUCUACUAGUUGUCGGGGUUUUAAUUAACUUGGUAACGCAGCUAACGCGUGAAGUAGACCGCCUGGGGAGUACGGUCGCAAGAUUAAAACU
rnacentral:rRNA from 1 species